GGUAGGGCUGAACGAUAUAUCGCAUUUGCAAUAUCAACAUUAUAAAGAAAGGCUGCGAUUAUACUCUGUUCACGUGAUAUGUGGGAGUAAAACGAGAUUGUCUAACCACAGAGGCUGCACUCUGGUCACGUGACACAGGGAGCAAAGUUUUGAAACAGUCUACCGGAGAGAACUCGCAAGCAAAGCUAGCUGUAACCUACGCAAUGGCCUCAGGCUCAACAGAACCAGACCCUGCGGGGCUAGUUUCAAAGAGGAAAUACACAUCAGUCGUGUGGGACUAUUUCGGUUUUAAGAAAGAAGAUGUUGCACAGAGUCAGGUACUGUGUAAAACCUGCCUGGUCAGAGUUGGUACAUCACGGGGCAACACUACCAAUUUGUACCAGCACCUAAAAACGCAGCACAAAACAGUGUAUGAUAGAUGUAUGGCUACAAAAUCAAGCAGUGUGCAGAAUAAUCCUAGUAAAGUUAAUCGGCAAGGAUCACUGACCGAACUGUUUGAAGGUGUUACGCCAUAUGAACGCAGUUCAAAGCGGCACACGGAAAUUACCAAAGCAGUAACCCAAUGCAUCGCGAAAGACAUGAUGGCCGUCAAUACGGUGACCAAGCUUGGGUUCAAUAAUUUGGUAACUACGCUGGAUAAGAGGUACAAAAUGCCCUCCCGCACGUAUUUUAGUCAGACUGCCCUUCCGGAGCUACAUAUGCAGUGUAGGCAGUGCUCGAAUUAGGUUUUUGUCUUCAAGGGGGUCUCUCUAUUUUAUAAAAACAAGUUGGACUCCCCGCCCCCCCCCCCCAUAACCUAACAUGUCAAUUAAAUAGCCGCGAAUAGGUGCGAAUGGCGCUUUUGCGCACGGUAGACACAACUUACACACGUAACACACGCACAACACAACAGACAGAUUUUUUGGGGUUUGUUUUACAGAAAUCGGUUCCAUUUCAUUUAAACAUAUUAUUGAUUGUCCAUAUUUCAUUCCAAUAUCGCAAUACAUACAAAUACAUAGAUUAAACAUAUUCUUUUGAAUUUCAGUUUAGCUAGACUGUGAACUUAUGCAUUAUGUAGCCUAUAUUGGCUUUGUCAAACAACAUAGAAGAAAGCGCAACUUCAACAGACAUUCUCAGCACUUGUCAAAUCAUGUAACCCAAUGAACGCAUAUAUAGACAAAACACUCGCAUCAUGUAGGCCUAACAAUUCAGUUCGAUGCUCUGAUCAUGUUUGACCGUGUUGGGCUUUACGGAAAUAGAUUAAACAUAUUCUUUUGAAUUUCAGUUUAGGGACAGGCUAGACUGUGAACUGUUAUGCAUUAUGUAGCCUAUGUGUAACUGUUGCUGUAUAAUUUGUUAAGGGUUUCCGAUAGUAAAUGAUUUCAUGUGUAGGACUUUUAUUUUGAAGCCUCGGCGGAGCCAGGAGAGAGCUCGAAAUAGAGACAGAGAAGAUGUACGUACUGUAGUGACACACACGUUUAAGAGUUAUAAGAGGUCAUUAUAAGAUUAGUUAAUGCCUUUUGGAGGAGAAAAGUGUUAUAAAAGAAGAAGAUUUCCUUUCUGUGCAUGCAGCCAAAGAGGUAUUUUGUCCGUUUGUCAUUUGCUUUCAAUGUAUGUUAUUUUUGUGUAUGUUUGCUAACUCGUUAGCGUUUUGUACUAUGUGUUUCAUACCGUGUUUUAGUUUUCACGGUUGGAUGGGGAGAAGACUUCAUAAAACCCGUUUAUAAGAAAACCACUGGUGUCUGACUGUGCUUGGGAGGGAGUCAUAGUGAAAACUCUGACUGUUCGUCGACGCGAGUGGGCGAAGCAGCAAGAAGGCCCAAGACUAGCAAGCUAAUCUCAACGUGGUGGCUACGGUGGCUACGGUGCUUGGAACGUUCGUCGAAGGACUGGCAGAUGAGUCGAUAUCACGCACUUUCACACAAAUGAAGACGCACACACACACUCAUUUAGCAAUCGUUUAUAUGCAAUGCCAUAAGAACUUGGACACUAAUAAGAGUGGGCUAAGAAGAGGGCUUUACAAAGUUUGCUUAAAUGUUUAUUUGGAUGCUAACAUUGAAGCACUGUUGUGUGAGUGGUGAAUGCAACUUAUUUGUUCAGCAAGUUCAACUGAAUCUUGCCAUUUACUGUAUAGCCAGGUUUAAGAAGCUAAAGGCUUAAAGUUGUAUGCUACAUACUUUUUCGUUUUGAAUUUCUAAUAUACAAAUUUAAAGUGUGUGUAAAGUGGUAAUACUAAGUGAAGGCUAUUUGCCAUUUGAUAUUUAAGUUCUCAAUUAGUGUUCCAAGGGAACCAAGGUUUAUUUGUACAUUUUCUAAGUGCAUUUUGAAUUAUUUAGGUGUAAAAUACCCACUGACUUUACUGCUAUUUAUGAUCAUAGCUAAUGAUUAUUUUUUCAGUUUAAAUAUUAAGACACUGCAGGUACACACAUUUUAUACAUAUUUGAGUAAGCUUUAGCAAUUCAUCUAGACAUUUAUUAUACUUCUGAGUUUUAGUUUUAUUUACAAUUUACAUGUAAACUGUUCAAGACAUUUUGAUAAUGGCAGAGGGUAGUGAGUCUCGAAUCCAGGUAAGGGAUAAUGUUAGGGAUAGUGAGAAUGAGCCAGCCAAAGAUCAAGCUAGAGACACUGAAGCUCAGCAAGAGGAAGUGCAUCAGCCAAGACGCGGUGAACGAGUCCGUAAUCUAACAGAGAAAGGCAAAGAAAUGCAAGAUACGAAAAUUAAAGCACUGCAACAAAGAUUUAAUUACAUUAACCAAAAAUGGAGAACACAAGUUAAACAAGCUAAGCAAGCAUUAUCACAAUUAUCAGAUUCAUUAGAAGACAGUCUGCUUCAUGAUAUCAUUGGUGACGUCAGAGGCCUUUGUGCAGAUGUCCAGCGUGCUUAUGAAGAGCUGCGCGGAGUUACAACACCAGACCAAGACACACGUCGAAGAGUGGAUUUGUGUGUAGAGAUUUCCAGCUUCAUCGUGUCCAAAGCCUCAAAUCGGUUUAGUGGGAAGACGCCAGAGGGAGAAGAACAAGGUUGGCCAGAUGCAGGCUCUCUUUGGGACUCAAGCAUUAGCGAAUUCGGAACUGUCCCCUCUAUCUUAAAGGUUGCCUCAGUGCAUUCAAAUAGGUCUUCUGUGAAACAUCAAGAAGCUGCCGCUGACGCUGCUGCAAGCCAAGCUGUUCUGGAAGUGUUGCAAGAACAAGAAAGAGAACAGUUGGAAAUACAGCGCCUGGAGGAAGAGGUUAAAAGGAAGAUUGCUGCUCAAGAGGCCGCAGCUCUAAAGCGUCGCUUAGAACAAGAAGCAGAAGAGGUGAAGCGAAGAAUAAAGAAAGAAGAAGAGGAUGCUGAAAUGAAAGCUAAGCUGGAAGAAGAGCAUAUGGCUAUACAAAGAACUCUUGAGGAAAGACGGAGAAGAAUAAAGCAGUUGGAGGCCAUGAAGGAGCUCAGUGCAGCGCAAGCAAGAAUGCAAGUGUACAAUCAAGAGCCAAAAGACAUCCUAGGCCAUCGGUUGGUUGCAGAUAACCAGCCACGGAGCCCCCCAAGACACCUGCCCCUGCCUGUGUUUCCUGCCCCUCAAGCCGUCACUUCCUCCACGAGUGAAAGCACACAAGAGCUUGUCAAGAUCCUGGCAGAUGCUUUAAGUGCCAACAGAAUACCAGUUCCUGAACCAUCAGUAUUCAGUGGCGAUCCAUUGAUAUACAGUGACUGGAAGCUUUCUUUCCAAAUUUUGAUAGACCAGAAGAAUAUUAAUGAGAAAGAGAAGAUAUACUACCUCCGUAGAUAUGUAAGUGGACAAGCCAAGAGUGCACUAGAUGGGUACUUCCUACUUGGGACUGAAUCUGCCUAUGUGUCUGCAUGGAAGCUUUUGGAGGAAAGAUAUGGAGACCCAUUUACAGUUGCAAAGGCAUACAGAGACAAACUCCAAGCAUGGCCCAGGAUCGGCACAAAAGAGAGCUUUGAGCUCAGAGAGUUUGUUGAUUUUCUCAGAAGUUGCGAGGCUGCCAUGGUCCACAUCAAAGCAUUGGAGAUUCUAAAUGACUGCAAUGAAAACAGAAAAAUACUGUCAAAAUUACCAGACUGGUUAACUGCAAGAUGGAAUCGGAAGGUCAUAAAAGUUGACGAGAAAAGCAGCAAGUUCCCCUCCUUUAGUCAGUUUGUUGAAUUUCUGAUAAGAGAAGCGAAAAUUGCGUGCAACCCGGUUACAUCAUUGCACUCACUGAAACAAGGUGAAAUUGAAAGGCCAAAACAACAAAGAUAUCAAAGUAUUACAGCAAAGACACUGACUACAAGCUCCAAUGAAGAGACUGUGCAAACCUGCACUUUCUGUGAGAAGAUUGGGCACACUUUGCUCAAAUGCAGGAAGUUUGUGGAAAAAGCAAUCUCAGACAGAGUCAAGUUUGUCCAAGCUGAAAAGCUGUGCUUCGGUUGCCUUAAGCCCGGUCACCUCUCAAAGAGUUGCAACAAAAGGAGCAUUUGCGACACAUGCAACAAGCGCCAUCCUACUUGUCUGCAUGAGGAAAGAGACAGAGCACCACAAGUCAAGCAAAGCUUAAGCCAAGACAGGUCAACUACACAUCAGGAAAGGAGUAGGGAAAGGCCCCAAGCCACACAACAUGAAACAGUGGCAGUAGCUACAUCAAAUAGAGUAAUCCUUGAUGAAACUAACAAACAAACGUCUGCAAUAAUUCCAGUCUGGCUGUCAUCUGCAGCUCAACCAGCACAAGAAGUACUUACAUAUGCUCUUUUGGAUUCACAAAGUGACACAACCUUUGUUCUCAGUGAAGUAGCUAAUGCUUUGGAGGCCGACAAAGAGCAAGUCAAGUUAAAACUUUCUACAAUGACUUCAAGAACAACACUGGUAAGCUCUCAGAGAGUAAACAACCUUCAAGUCCGUGGCUUUUACUCCAACAAGAAGAUCUAUUUACCACCAACCUACACACGUGACUUCAUUCCCGCCAACAGAACUCACAUUCCAACAGCUAAAACUGCCAAAGCUUGGUCCCAUCUAGAACACCUCCAAGAUGAUGUGGCACCUUUACAAGACUGUGAAGUAGGUCUGCUCAUUGGGUACAACUGCUCACAAGCCUUACUCCCACGAGAAGUUGUUUCUGGCAAAGAAAAUGAGCCUUAUGCACAGCGCACAGACCUUGGGUGGAGCAUUGUCGGUCAUGGGAAAGCCUCUGUAGAUUAUGGAGAUGCCAUCGGAAUCAGCCAUCGCAUAGUAGUGAGGCAAGUGACACCAGGAGUUAACCCCUCCGUCAGUCUGAAAAAAGAAGUACACUAUGUGAAUAGAACCAAAGUCAAAGAAGUCACCCCCUCAGACAUCCUAAAGGUCCUCGAGUCAGACUUCUCAGAAAGAGCUGGAGAAGAGGAUCCUGUGUCUCAAGACGAUCUCAAGUUCCUGUCAACGAUAAGAGAAAACAUUACACAAAAGGAGGAUGGACACUACGAAAUGCCAUUACCGUUCAAACAGGAAAGACCGAAACUACCGAACAACAAGAUAUGUGCAACACAUCGUCUAAAUUGUCUUCAAAAGAGACUAAUGAAGAAUGAAGCUUACUGCAAGGAUUACGUGAACUUCAUGAACGACAUCAUUUCACGUGGCGAUGCAGAGAAAGUGCCUGAGGAGGAAAUUGACAACACCCCGGCUUGGUAUAUUCCACACCAUGGAGUUUAUCAUCCGCAAAAACCAGGGAAAAUUCGUGUUGUAUUUGAUUGUUCUGCCAAAUUUCAAGAAACUUCUCUUAACGAUCAUCUACUCACCGGACCUGACCUGACAAACAUGUUAGUGGGUGUCCUGUGUAGAUUCCGAAAAGGCUCGAUCGCAGUGAUGUGUGACAUCGAAAGGAUGUUUCAUCAGUUUCAUGUGAAAAUGGAAGACCAGGAUUACUUAAGAUUCCUAUGGUGGGAGCAUGGCAAUCUGGAAACCACACCCUCAACCUACAGAAUGAAAGUCCACAAUCAUUCUUCCUCCACCUGGAGAAUUUAUCAAGGAAGAUCUUUAUCUUCAAAAGAGGUGGCGUCGAGUCCAAUAUUUAGCCAAUGAAUUUUGGAUUAGAUGGAAAAAAGGAAUAUCUUUUGAGUUUACAACCAAGACAGAAGUGACAAAAGAACAGAAGAAACCUAAAAGUGAACGACAUUGUGUUUUUGCAAGAUGGUCAAGCCCCACGUAAUGAAUGGAAGCUGGCCAGAGUAACAGAAGUUUAUCCAGGGUCAGAUGAUAGGGUUAGAAAGGUCAGAUUGUUAGUUAGUGACACUACAUUCAAUUUAAAGGGUAAAUCCACAACUAAGACAGUUUUCUUAGAGAGACCUGUGCAUAAGUUGGUCACUCUGCUUGAAGCAGAACAGGUUUAAUAUUUCUAAUUUUUAUCUUCAUUAUAUGUAAGAAGUAUAAUGUUUAUCUUUGCAUUUUGUGCAAGAGGUUUAAUGUUUAUCCUGACAUUCCAUAUUUGUGGUUAAUAACAGGAAAUGUUUAAUGUAAAGGUCAAAGUGUAACAAUAUGUGUAAGGAAAUCUCACAGUAUGGUUGUGUGAUUUGGUGGGAGUGUAACUGUUGCUGUAUAAUUUGUUAAGGGUUUCCGAUAGUAAAUGAUUUCAUGUGUAGGACUUUUAUUUUGAAGCCUCGGCGGAGCCAGGAGAGAGCUCGAAAUAGAGACAGAGAAGAUGUACGUACUGUAGUGACACACACGUUUAAGAGUUAUAAGAGGUCAUUAUAAGAUUAGUUAAUGCCUUUUGGAGGAGAAAAGUGUUAUAAAAGAAGAAGAUUUCCUUUCUGUGCAUGCAGCCAAAGAGGUAUUUUGUCCGUUUGUCAUUUGCUUUCAAUGUAUGUUAUUUUUGUGUAUGUUUGCUAACUCGUUAGCGUUUUGUACUAUGUGUUUCAUACCGUGUUUUAGUUUUCACGGUUGGAUGGGGAGAAGACUUCAUAAAACCCGUUUAUAAGAAAACCACUGGUGUCUGACUGUGCUUGGGAGGGAGUCAUACUAUGGCUUUGUCAAACAACAUAGAAGAAAGCACAAGUUCAACAGCAAACAUGACAUUCUCAGGACUUGUCAAAUAAUGUAACCCAAUGAACGCAUAUAUAGACAAAACUCACCCAUCAUGUAACAAUUCAGUUCGAUGCUCUGAUCAUGUUUGUUGGGCUUUACGGAGACAAAAGAGACCAAACUGCCCUGCUCUCAGCUGGCUGGGGCCUGCGCCCAGGAAUCCAUGAUGCUGAUGUCCGGUGGCCACUCUUAAUCCAUGAGUGGGCAAACGGCACGGGGUUGAAUUUCUCAAUAGGAGGUCCAUUCAAGUCAAUGAAUAGCAGGGCAGUGAGGCUCGCUGCACGCAGUCCGUUCCUAGUUUUAUCGUCUGUGUCAUUGCAAGCCGAGAAACCCCUCUCACACUCCGCUGAGGUCGGGAGUAUAGUGCGGCAUGCGACGAUAAGUUUCUUAAGAGUAUUCCCCUGAGAACCUUGAAGCUUCCAAUCUCGGAAUUCCUCGAUAGCCUCGGUAGAAGAUUCACAGAGGAGUUUUGCGAAUCUCCCCACUUCGCGCUCUCCAAAUAGCAUUAGGUCUGACCUCUCUGCAGGCCAAAAGUGCUGAUCUAGAGGCUUGAGCAUGGCAAUAAGUUCACUGUCAGGAAGACGUGAUCUGAGAUUAUCAAGGAUGGACUGAUAAAACUGGGGUUUAUUAAUCUUAGGCUGCGUUUCCCUAAGCACAACGCCUUUGAACCGACCACUUGCUAUGCCUGCGCGAAUCUUGGAUUCCGUUUUACCGGCAUCUUCUUUCAUAGCAGACAGUAUCUCGAUGGUUUGAUGGAUUUGUCUGCUGCCAUCCACCAGAGACGUGUCCCUUCUCUGUAGUCUCAAUGAGAGCCCCUGCAGUUCACGAAGCACAUCUUUCAUCACUGCCAAAUCGGAGAGGAAGCCAGUAGAUGUCAGAUGCUUGAGUAGGCCACCAUACUUCGCCCUCUCCACACCGUUGCGCGAGGCAUCUUCGCUGGCCAUUGUAAAGUGCUGUGCCAAAACAGGAAAAUCUUUCACCACAGCUUUAACUGUCCGGAAACUGCUUGCCACCCACCUGAUUGUGAAGACUUUGCCUAUUUUUAAAAUCUGCAUGUUUAGUUCCCUAGCAGCAUUUUCAAGCUCCCGUGCGUUUUUGGUGGAUUGGUGAUACAGACUAUGAAGCUUUGAAAUAAAAAUGUCAAAAUGGUUGCACCCAGCCACAGCCUUCAAAGAAUCAUUAACAGCUAGUUCUAAUCGGUGUGCCAGGCAAUGUACAUCCUGCAGUCGAGGGAAGUCUUGUUUAAGUCUUUCAAUGAGUCCUGUAUGCCUACCGGUAAGGACAGCGGCUCCGUCUGUGGCUAUGCUGAUGAAGUUCCUCUUAAGAAAUUCUGCCUCUAUCCCCACAUUUUGAAGACUGUCUUUUAACGCAUUGUAAAGAGAUCCUGCAUCUCCUUUUUCCAACUCAACAAUGUCCAAAGACACAUUCUCUACGUCUCCAUUACCUGUUACAUCGCACCUCAUGUAGAUAAUCAUAUAGGAGCGUCCAUGCACAGUGCUUUCAUCCAACGUUAUGCUGAUACGUGAGUCGAGUUUCAAGACAUGGGAAACAAGUCUUCUUUUCAUUUCAUCUGCUAUAUGUUUCACAAUAGCAGCACAGGAGUGAUCGGAGCGGUGUGCAGGGCCCACUGUUGCACCAUUAAGCUCAUUAACUGUCAUGAUCGGCGUCAUUUUGGUGUAUGGCAAUCUCUCUUUGGCUAUAGUGUACGGGAGCUCGGCUCCCUCUGGCUCCCACGUAAUUCGAGCACUGAUGUAGGCAGAAAGUAGCAGCGGACUUGAAGGCUGUGGAGUUUUUUGCGGCUACAACAGACAUGUGGUCAAGCCGUACAGCGGAGCCUUAUCAAAGCCUUACGGUCCAUUAUAUCUCUGAAGACCUCCACCUCGAAGCUCGCAGCCUUCAAACGGCCUACUUCCCCGGAGACCACACAGGCGAAAACAUUGCUGCUGGCCUGAGAGAGGGGCUUGCGUGCUGGGAUCUCACUGAAGACAACCUUCUCUGCAUAACGACGGACAACGCGUCAAAUAUGGUGAAAGCAGCACAGCUGAACGAAUGGACCAGACUCCAGUGUUUCGGACACAGAUUACAUCUUGCUAUUGAAAAUGCAAUCAAAGAUGAUAGAGUAUCCAGAGCAAUAGGGCAGUGCACGAAGUUGGUGGGGCACUUCUCCCACAGUUGGAAGAAAAAGGCAGCGCUCACUGAGGCACAGAAGGAGCUUAAGCUUCCUGAGCACUCUCUCAUUACUGAGUGCCCUACAAGAUGGGGGUCCAAAGAGAAAAUGAUUGCCAGAGUGCUGGAACAGAUGACAGCCAUAUCAAAGGUAUUGUCAGGUGACCGACAUGCACGCCCCCUCAUCCCAACCUGGCAGGAUGCUGCCGUGUUGAAGUCCAUUCAUAAGGCACUGCAUCCUCUCUCCGAAUUUACUGAUGCUCUUUCUGGAGAGGAGUAUGUGAGCAUCUCCUACCUCAAGCCAGUUCUCCAUCUUCUGGCAACAUCAGUCUUGGCUGAAGAUGCUGAGGACACUGAUCUGACUAGAUCAAUUAAAACCAAGGUCCUGGCUUACCUCAACGACAAGUAUAGUGACCUCAUCACCCAGGAGCUUUUGGAUGUUGCGUCUUUCAUGGACCCUAGGUUCAAAACGCAAUACAUCAGCGCAGACAACCUUCCUGCCAUUAAGGCCCGACUGAAGACAGAAAUGGUGGAAUCAGCAAGACGUACACAUAAUCAGGAGAAGGGGUCUCGCACUGAAACCGCUCAAAAUUCUCCAAGUGCACAGGCCUCUGGGGGAAAGGCAAAGAAGUCUCUUGGUAGUCUUUUUAAAACCAGUGUGGCCUCUUCAGCUUUGCCUCUGCCACUUGAAGAUGUCGUGGAGGCAGAGUUGAAUAGUUACCUGUUGAGAGGAUGAUCCCUUAGCCUGGUGGAAGGUGCACAACAUUCACUUUCAAAGGCUGUGCAAGAUGGCCCGCAAAUAUCUAUGUGUGCCAGCCACAAGUGCCCCCUCAGAGCGUUUGUUCAGCACUGGAGGGAAUAUAGUGACUUGCACUCGCUCAUCCUUAAAGCCAGCAAAAGUUGAUAUGCUGGUCUUCCUAGCAAAAAACCUUGAGCUAUGAUGAUUAUGGCUGGCAGAGCCAUACUCAUUGUGCACUUUAGUUUGUGCUGUGUAACUGUUACUGCAGAUAAUCAAGAUGUUCAGCCAGUUUUAAUUUAAAGGUGUGUUUGUGUGUGUAUACAAUUGCUAUAUUAUGUUUGCACUUUAUGUGUAAUGUUACUGACUAGUUUUAUUUAUUUAAUAUUAUUUUUAAUUUAAUGACUUUCUAGCAGUUCACAGAUGUCGAAAGUCGAGUGUGGUAAAGCCACAGAUUGUUUUUUUAUAUAUAUAUAUAUAUUUCUGCACAUUGUACUGACUUUCAUUUUAAUGUUUACACCAGGGUUCCUUGUCAGCACUUUAUGCUCAGAUGUUACUAUACUAUGCUCAGAGAUGUUACUACUCAAAAUAUACUAUUGUGUAUGUUCAAAUAUACUGUUUUGAUUGAAUUAGUUGUCAGUCAUCAUUCAUGCAAACUCAUGUCAUCAUAACAGAGGUAUGUCUUCCAGGAAAGAACAGUUUAAAAUGAAUGUAAUAUAGUAUUGGCCAUACUAUAUGAUGUUUUGCUUGUCAAUAAUACAGAAGACAAAGUCCUUAAAAAAUAAUCGCAUAUCGCAUCGCAAUCGCAAUAUUGGCGCGAAAAAUCGCAAUUAGAUUAUUUUCCAUAAUCGUUCAGCCCUAGUAUAGGGGCCUCGCCUCCGACGCUGUAUCCAGUUCUCUUCAGCGGUGGAAGAAGUACUCACUAAAUAACAGAAGAAAUAUUACAGUCUAAAUAGUCAGUUACAAGUUAUUGUACUGUAUUCAAAAUUUUACCCAAAUAAAAGUAAUUCAUUGUAGUUUAAGUUGUAUGAAUCAUUUACAUUGUGGUGGAAAUAACUUUUGGUUUUGGUUUAAUUUAGGUCAGAAUACUUUUGGAGAGAGUAUUUUAUGUGAUUAAUAACAAUAGGCAAAUCUACAUUUUUUUGGGCAUUCUAUUAAAUGCAAUUUAAGAGCUGUGUGAAAUGGAUUUGUAUUUAUUUUUCCUGUAUCUUACUGUGAAUAAAUUAUUACCAUUGUACAACCAAUCAAAUUCAUUGUCAGUGUAAACCUACUUGGCAAUAAAAGUGAUUAUGAUUUUUCUGAUUCUUAUUACCUGUCAAAUAUCGAGAAUCUUAAACUGAAAAUGAGUUGUCUGUUCAUUGAAAAAGUCCCGCUAUAUCAAUACAAUGGGGGAUAAUGGAAUUUGAAUAAAGUAAUUUCCCAAAAAUA